rnacentral:lncRNA from 1 species
AGAGCUAAAAUCUGCCACUGAAAGAAGAUAAGGGGUAGAGGAAGGCGUCCUUGCGGAAGACCUUGACUAUUUCAGGCCUUUCAGUGCUGGUAGCCUGCAGCACUCGCUGUUUCUUCAACAGGAUUUGGCCCAGUGCACUCAUUUGUCUAUAGAGCAAGAGAUCAAGCCUCGCAUCAAGUUCCACAGGCCGUGACUCAGACCCUGGAACGCUGGGGCUGUUUGAAAAUAAAGAAGGGACAAAAAGCAUCUGUUGGAAAUGUUCACUGUGAUGCAGAUCCAAACCCUCCUCUUCCUCCUCCUCCUCUUUUUCCUCGGCCUGAGCCACAGCGAACGCACAGUGGCAGAGGAGCUGGGGAGCCAUCAGCUGCAGCGGCUGGUGGAUCUGCUGACGGUGCACGAGUGUGAGGAGCUCUUCCUGGCCCUAACCAAUCCCGAGGAGAAGGUUUUUAAACAGCUGCAGCGCCUGUCUGCAGAGAAGAACCCGCUGAGACCACACCCCCGCACACCACGAGACAUAGAUAAGGAAACCCACUGCCAUCCAGCUCUAACAGACUGGCUCCGGAUUCAUGGAGAGCAGACGUAUUACGACAGACUGUCUCUUGCUCUUCAACAGAUCGGAAGGACUGACAUUGCCAUAGAGGUGGGUAAGAAUCUUAACCAGGACAAGACGCUGGGGCUGCAGCGCUAUGUGGAGGAAUACCAUGAGCAGGUCAAUAAAAUGACAUCACAGUUCAUCCUGCCCCAAUCAGAGGAGGACCAUCAUGAAGAAACACCAGAUGUUUCUGCAAGACAAGUGAGGAGCUUGUCUUGGAAAGAUUUGGACUUGGUUGUGGAGAGGCAGCUGGUGCCACCCUAUCAGCGUCAGUUUCUGGACGGGGCGUGGCCUCUUCUCUACGGCCUUAUCUUUGGAUUCGUUGCAGCUUUAGGGGUUGGUUUGCCUGUAAUGCUCUUUACCAUGCGGAUAUGCCUUGGGUCCCAAACCAAAACCCAGCAUUAGGGACACCAUACACACCAUCACUCCUUUGAGAUUUUGAUGACUUGUUAGACUUGUUUGUUUUAAGCUAAACAACUGUGAUUUUUCAGACUAGGUUUAAUAUUAAACAAUGAUCUGCCUUAAUUGAUGUCUUUUAUUUAAUUUUAUUUUUUUUCUUACCUGUAUAUACUAUUCUAGAGUUUUAGUCACAUGAUUUUUUGGGUACCACUUUAAAAGUGUCUUUUCU